rnacentral:lncRNA from 1 species
AGAUUUAUAAGAAGACUUAGAUGAAGAAUUCCCACUGCUCUCAGUCAAGUUCCUCCCACCUAAUAUAACUGCUCUACUCCAGCGCAUUAUAGCUAACUUUAAGAAGCUAUACACCAAGGAACUAUUCAUGAAGUGCUUCCAGACGGUCUCAGAUACAGAUUUCUUUAAUCCUUAAAGAGUUAUGUAAGGAACAUUAAAACAUCCUUUCUUAUGUGAGAUUACUUGAGAGAUCCUGGGCCAACAUUUCUCUAAAGACACUGAGAUUGGCUCAACUGAAAGUGUGGCCUAAAAUUAUACAGGAGAGAGACUCUGAAGGCUAUAUAGAGGAGCCUGAGUCUUCAAUUGACCAUGUGGUUGAUCACAUUGUCACUAUAACAGAGACCAUAGGCUUGCAGGUAGACAAUAGUGAUGUUGAGGAACUGGUGGAGGAACACUCAGAGGAAUUGUUUUCAGAGGAACUUCAACAACUUCUGGCUGAGCAACAGAGAAUGACAUCUGAGGAGCUUUUUGACAAGGAGGGGGAGUAUCAACAAUCAGUGCAUCAAAGUUCUUCUUCCGAAAUAAAGGAAAUCCUGAAAAAAAAAUGGAAAACAGCUACAGACAUUUGUAUGGGAGACUGACCCAGACAGAAAAAAGCCAAUCUUUGCAUUCACUUGCUUAAUGACAAUGUCAUUUCAUACUACAGAACAGGGUUAAAGACAGAAACAAACAACCUUAGGCCAGUUUUUACUUCUGAAAAGGUUGAAACCUAGUGAGCCAGAAAUGGGUCCUAGUGGGAUACAAACUCUCCUAAGGAGAGAAAGGACACCAAAGAGCCAGAUUCCUGAUGUUCUUAUAGAAGGGGCCUCUCCUUCCACACAACAGCCACCUUCCAUUCAUCCUCCCUUCCCUCAAGCCAAAGAUGUCAACUUGAAUGCUUACACAGCGAAUCAGCCCAUGCCCCGGAAACAAUCCAUUGGACACCCCAACCUCCUGCUCCUCUGUAC